rnacentral:rRNA from 1 species
AGAGUUUGAUCAUGGCUCAGGAUGAACGCUAGCGGCAGGCCUAAUACAUGCAAGUCGAACGGUAAGUUUGGUAGCAAUAUUGAACUGAGAGUGACGUACGGGUGCGUAACACGUAUGCAACCUACCCUUUACAGGAGGAUAGCUCGGGGAAACUCGGAUUAACCCUUCAUAGUAUCAUUAGAUGGCAUCAUUUGAUGAUUAAAACUGAGGUGGUAAAGGAUGGGCAUGCGUCUGAUUAGUUAGUUGGCGGGGUAACGGCCCACCAAGACGAUGAUCAGUAGGGGAACUGAGAGGUUGAUCCCCCACACUGGCACUGAGAUACGGGCCAGACUCCUACGGGAGGCAGCAGUAGGGAAUAUUGGUCAAUGGAUGGAAGUCUGAACCAGCCAUGCCGCGUGCAGGAAGAAGGCCUUCUGGGUUGUAAACUGCUUUUGCCAGGGGAUAAAAAGAUCUUGCGAGAUUAAUUGAAGGUACCUGGUGAAUAAGCACCGGCUAACUACGUGCCAGCAGCCGCGGUAAUACGUAGGGUGCAAGCGUUGUCCGGAUUUAUUGGGUUUAAAGGGUGCGUAGGCGGCCUUGUAAGUCAGUAGUGAAAUAUCACAGCUUAACUGUGAGGGUGCUAUUGAUACUGCAGGGCUUGAGUACAGAUGAGGUAGGCGGAAUUGACGGUGUAGCGGUGAAAUGCAUAGAUAUCGUCAAGAACGCCGAUAGCGAAGGCAGCUUACCAAGCUGUAACUGACGCUGAGGCACGAAAGUGUGGGGAUCAAACAGGAUUAGAUACCCUAGUAGUCC